GGACUCGGCUGAAGCGAGUGGCUGUUUUAUGAAAUGGACAUAUUCCCAUCUCUUCACUUUUCUGAAACAAGCAGACAAGAACAUUACAGUAAUAUGCAAGCUAUGUCCUGGGGAGAAAAAACUAUCGGCCGGUGUUAAUAGCGAGAGCAUAGACGAACACUUCUGAGUGAUCCUUGUUCAUCAUCCAUGGAUAACACCGCAGCAACUCCUGCUAAGCAGCAAAACUUGAUUUUAGUUCAGCAGCACAGAAAGCGUCUGAAGACAGCCCUGCUAAUAAGGAGGAACUACACCAGGAGCAAACAAGACUGGGGCAACAGAAAGAACCACUCAUACAAGACGUUCCCACAAGGUGGAAUUCAACGCUGGAUAUGGUUUCUCAUCUACAAAAGGAUCAAGAGGCUGUUUUUGCUGCUUUAGACAUCCAAAAGAACAAGCUGGUUUGUGUGCUUCUUGGAGGUGAGACAUAUGUCUCAUGUUCAGUGGUUGAACCUGCUUUCUGCCACCUGGUCUCCGAUGACUUAAACUACAAUGUGAAAUUUAAGACCUAUCCCAACGUGCAGCUACACUCAGCCAUCAGUGGCUCAAGAUAGCUACUGUGCUUGACCCACGCUUUAAGGAUUUAAAGUGUCUUGCAAGGGGAGAGCGAGAAGAGGUUUGGACCAGCCUUGAGGCCCUGCUGCAGGAACAGUGCAAAGAUGCCACCACAAACGAGACAGCAAAGACAAAGAGCCUCCUCCUUACUCCAUUUUCUUCAGAGUCUGAUUCAGAUGAGGAAGCCCUAUGUAACAGGGCCCUGAGUUUGUACAGAGCAGAAUACACCAUCAACAAGACAGACUGCUUGCUGCAGUUGUGGUCCUGUUGAGCAAGGACCCACCCACAGCUGUCUGUCCUGGCCCACAAAUAUUUGAUUAGUCCUGCUACUUAUGUUUCACUUGCAGGUCACAUAGUAACAAAAAAAGAGAGCUGCCUUGUGCUCUGAAACUGUGCACAGGCUAAUUUGUCUAAAUAACUGGCUGAAAAAGAGACAGUAAAUAAGCAUGGAGGUAUUGUGAGGUAAUAACAAUGGGUUUGUUAUUUUUUGCACUAAAAUUUUUGAUGAUCACACUGUUUUAGCCUCAUGUACAAAAUGAUGUUGGCCAAGGUUACUCAGGGUUUAUAGGUGAAGCUGCUUAAAUAACCUUUUAUGUUUCUGCAAAAAAAUUUUAGAAGAAAAGCUGCACUCUUUUAUUAUUAUUAUUUAAAGACAAUACCAUAUUGAAAAUGGACUUAAAGUCUGCCCAAUUUUGUCCAGGGCUUAGGGCUGUUCGAUAUAACGAUAUAUAUCAGAUGAUGAUAUGAAACAUCUAUCGUUUCAUUUUACGCUAUCGUUUGUGUUGUGGUGUUGAAAAAUAAACUGUUUACUGCAAUAUUUUUUCAUCGUUUUGAUGGUCACUGUAGUGGCUAUAUUAAUUUCUUAAAGUUCUCUCUUUCUCUUAUAUUUAAUAUAACCACACUGUGGACGGACAAGCACCUGCUGUCGUUAGCAACAAUGACGGUAAAACCAUCAUGUGUCCGCUUGUUUAUUUUCUAUAUAAACCUUUCACAAUAAAGCCCAAGAUCCCGUUGAGACUUUUCAAAAUAAACUGAAUCACGUGAAAGAGAGCAGAGUAUUUACCGAUGAGACG